GUUCCCGUAGUGUAGUGGUUAUCACGUUUGCUUUACACGCGAAAGGUCCCCGGUUCGAGCCCGGGCGGAAACA
rnacentral:tRNA from 1 species